AUGCUGUUAGAAAGUGCAAUUUUUUUGCGUGACAAAUCAACAUUGUACACCAUUCUCAGCUGCUCUAGAAAGCGUGUAGCUACCUCCCUAGCACUGUACACUGAUCGGACCUCCAUGAAGAACAAGAGAGAAUCCAGAUAUAUAUUCUUCACCGCUUUGCACAUGGCAAGGUUGAAUCUGGCUGUUUCCAUGAUCAUCAUGGAGACCAUGUCUUACUUUCCUCAAAGGAACAUCCACCUGGUAACCAUGCCUCCUUUCUUCAAGUGCACGGUGAGUUGGGUUGAGACAGAAUCAUUGCAUGCCAAUUGA
rnacentral:rRNA from 1 species